rnacentral:rRNA from 1 species
AGAGUUUGAUCCUGGCUCAGAUUGAACGCUGGCGGCAGGCCUAACACAUGCAAGUCGAGCGGUAGCACAGAGAGCUUGCUCUCGGGUGACGAGCGGCGGACGGGUGAGUAAUGUCUGGGAAACUGCCUGAUGGAGGGGGAUAACUACUGGAAACGGUAGCUAAUACCGCAUAAUGUCGCAAGACCAAAGUGGGGGACCUUCGGGCCUCAUGCCAUCAGAUGUGCCCAGAUGGGAUUAGCUAGUAGGUGGGGUAACGGCUCACCUAGGCGACGAUCCCUAGCUGGUCUGAGAGGAUGACCAGCCACACUGGAACUGAGACACGGUCCAGACUCCUACGGGAGGCAGCAGUGGGGAAUAUUGCACAAUGGGCGCAAGCCUGAUGCAGCCAUGCCGCGUGUGUGAAGAAGGCCUUCGGGUUGUAAAGCACUUUCAGCGGGGAGGAAGGCGUUAAGGUUAAUAACCUUGUCGAUUGACGUUACCCGCAGAAGAAGCACCGGCUAACUCCGUGCCAGCAGCCGCGGUAAUACGGAGGGUGCAAGCGUUAAUCGGAAUUACUGGGCGUAAAGCGCACGCAGGCGGUCUGUCAAGUCGGAUGUGAAAUCCCCGGGCUCAACCUGGGAACUGCAUUCGAAACUGGCAGGCUAGAGUCUUGUAGAGGGGGGGUAGAAUUCCAGGUGUAGCGGUGAAAUGCGUAGAGAUCUGGAGGAAUACCGGUGGCGAAGGCGGCCCCCUGGACAAAGACUGACGCUCAGGUGCGAAAGCGUGGGGAGCAAACAGGAUUAGAUACCCUGGUAGUCCACGCCGUAAACGAUGUCGAUUUGGAGGUUGUGCCCUUGAGGCGUGGCUUCCGGAGCUAACGCGUUAAAUCGACCGCCUGGGGAGUACGGCCGCAAGGUUAAAACUCAAAUGAAUUGACGG